rnacentral:rRNA from 1 species
UGGGGAAUUUUGCGCAAUGGGCGAAAGCCUGACGCAGCAACGCCGCGUGAGGGAUGAAGGCCUUCGGGUCGUAAACCUCUGUCAGAGGGGAAGAACCACCUAUGUGAUAAUACCUCAUAGGUCUGACGGUACCCUCAGAGGAAGCACCGGCUAACUCCGUGCCAGCAGCCGCGGUAAUACGGAGGGUGCAAGCGUUGUUCGGAAUUAUUGGGCGUAAAGCGCGCGCAGGCGGCUGCGCAAGUCUGAUGUGAAAGCCCCGGGCUCAACCUGGGAAGUGCAUCGGAAACUGCGUAGCUUGAGUACGGGAGAGGGAAGCGGAAUUCCGAGUGUAGGGGUGAAAUCCGUAGAUAUUCGGAAGAACACCAGUGGCGAAGGCGGCUUCCUG